rnacentral:rRNA from 1 species
UACAGAGGCCUCAAGCGUUGUUCGGAUUCAUUGGGCGUAAAGGGUGCGUAGGCGGCCACGCCAAGUCGGAUGUGAAAUCUCCCGGCUCAACUGGGAGGGGUCAUUCGAUACUGGCGGGCUCGAGGCCGGUAGGGGGAAGUGGAAUUCCCGGUGUAGUGGUGGAAUGCGUAGAUAUCAGGAAGAACACCCGUGGCGAAAGCGGCUCUCUAGAACGGUACUGACGCUGAGACGCGAAAGCGUGGGGAGCGAACAGG